rnacentral:pre_miRNA from 1 species
UCUUAUGGGUAAACAAAGAAAGUGGUUUCUUGAGAUGGAAUCUACUUCUGGUGAAGAUGCUGUGCA